GCACUGCUGAGGAAUCCCACAUCCACGAUCGAGAGAUUCGAACCCAGCAGUCCCAUAAUAGGACGAAACGGCAGUCCAGUGC
rfam:Schistosoma rodhaini strain Burundi genome assembly, scaffold: SROB_scaffold0017822